AUGGUAAAAGACGAGGAGGAGCAACAGGAGGAGGAGGAGGAGGUACACAAACCCCUGAAGAACCCGAGGAGAGCGUGAACGCACACUGGUGGGGUAACAGUUCACCCUGGAUCGGUCCCUGAUCCGCUUGGAAGCGUCAAAUUACCUCUCAAACCUCCGGAGCUGCUCCGUCAGUCUGAACUUUAUCCUGCUAAUUAGAUGAAGAGCUUGAGACCAGCAGGCACCAAAAAAAACAACAACGACAGAAAAAAAACAGUAAAAGAAGUGGGGGAUGGUGAAGAGAAGUCUGAGUGGAGGACUGUGAAACAUCGUGGGGACACUGUAAAGAGUUGAUUUCUCCUUUCAGACCAGCGUUAACAAGUGGAAACAGUGUCAGCCACACACUCUCCUCCAGAGAUCCUGCAUUGAUGAAGGGAGUUUGGGCCACUGACUUAAGUCUUCACCAGCACAUUCCUGAGAUUCUCCAUGGGGCUAAAGACUGGACUCUGUGGUGGCCGGUCAGGGUGUGAAAAUAAUACCUCAUGUUCCUUGAAAUGCUCUUUCACAGUUUGAGUCUGACGAAUCCUGGUAUUCUCAUCUUGGAAUAAUGCCCAUGCCGUCGAGAAGGAAUAAAAGUAACUUCAUACAGGGUUUCAGCUUCUUCAGGCUGUCUUCCUUUGCGAGAAAAAAUCAAGCCAUUUCCUGCAUCCCGUC